rnacentral:rRNA from 1 species
AUUGAGCGCUGGCGGCAGGCCUAACACAUGCAAGUCGAACGGUAACAGAAGGCAGCUUGCUGCUUUGCUGACGAGUGGCGGACGGGUGAGUAAUGUCUGGGAAACUGCCUGAUGGAGGGGGAUAACUACUGGAAACGGUAGCUAAUACCGCAUAACGUCGCAAGACCAAAGAGGGGGACCUUCGGGCCUCUUUCCAUCGGAUGUGCCCAGAUGGGGUUAGCUAGUAGGUGGGGUAACGGCUCACCUAGGCGACGAUCCCUAGCUGGUCUGAGAGGAUGACCAGCCACACUGGAACUGAGACACGGUCCAGACUCCUACGGGAGGCAGCAGUGGGGAAUAUUGCACAAUGGGCGCAAGCCUGAUGCAGCCAUGCCGCGUGUAUGAAGAAGGCCUUCGGGUUGUAAAGUACUUUCAGCGGGGAGGAAGGGAGUAAAGUUAAUACCUUUGCUCAUUGACGUUACCCGCAGAAGAAGCACCGGCUAACUCCGUG